UCUGGUGGCAAUAUCGAAGGGGCAACACCCGUUCCCAUUCCGAACACGGCAGUUAAGACCUUCGGAGCUGAUGGUACUGCACGGGCGACUGUGUGGAAGAGUAGGACGCUGCCAGAU
rnacentral:rRNA from 1 species